CCCCCGCCUCCGCCGUACCACCACUAAGAAGAUCCACCACUCUGUCAAGCUGGGAGCCCAGGUACGUGCAAACAACAUCAGUCUACAUUCUUGCAUGGACGCACCAUUUGUUCGAAUAGCACCAACUAACUCAGAGAACGUUUUUGUUUGCAGAAUGCGGUCGAGAAGAGUUGUGCGAGCAGGCCAAGAAGAGCCACGUACGGCGUCGUUGAUCCUCCUCCGGUGUGUGUUGCUGCCGAACUAGGGCCGAUCUCUCAGGAGAUGGAAUAAUGCAGAUGGCUCCCAUUAGUUUAUCUUACCAGCUUAUCAUUUGUGUUCGUCCAGUGUUAGCGUCUGUGUUGCUAGUGUGGCAAUGUGCCCGUGUCACUGUAAAACCAUUGAUCACCACGGAAAUGGAAGUAAAAGGUGUUGUUUCCUGUUGCAUGUAACGUGAUCGCGUCUCUGUUUUGCUGCUCUUCUAUCAUCUUGGCCUAUGGGUGACGUGAUGCGAUGUUUGCAUGUGAGGUUACAUAAAAUAUGUGACAUUGAGUACUACGCUCUGCUCGCACAGGCGCAGCAUGCAUGCCUGCAAGUCCUGCGGCGCAGUGAGCUGUCUUGCCCAAGCUACAGUAUCCCAUACCAGUGUUCUGCAGCAUAUGCCCAUGCGACACUUAAUAAAGAACAGCAAUAGGUCUUUGCCGUCUAGGUGCAUCCCCCAUGCGACACUUAAUAAAGAACGGAAGUAAUAGGUCUUUGCCGUCUUGACACCAAACAUUCAAAAGUGAAUCAAGAAGAAAACUUCCGUUCUCAUACACCCUUCAUACAUCCUAGUACCAAACACAUCUUUACUGUACCUGCACAGGCAUAAUGCUAGUACGUAGCAGAAUAUGCAAUGCGGGGCGGGUGAUCUGUUCUUUACUUCUAUUGGCCAUGGGUUGGUGCAAACUUACAAUCAAUUGGGUCAGUGUGAAACCUCGGCUGCUGGGGGUUCCAGUAAUAGCAUGCAUGAUGCCAACAGGUCUGACCGUAAUGAAUCGGAGGAGCCAGGUGAAAGAAGACAAGAAGAACAGUUGGCACAAUAAAUUAACUUGACAUGCUGACGAUGUGCUUUAUACAAAUCUUAUUUCCUUUCGACGUGCUAAAUAUGGCAAUCAAUCUCACAGAUAUGAAAACUUUGAUAUUUUGGUAUGCAUGAUUUGGAAAACAAAUGGAGCAGCAGACUGUUCUUAAAAAAAAGGGUUACAUUCAUUGUUACAUGAGUGAGAAUAUGGAAGUUUAUUUCAUUUUAUUAUUUUCUACUGGAGACUUCUCAUUGAGUUUGAAGUUUAAAUUCUGGUCUUAGGAUCGAUGUCACCGUUUUCCAAAUAGGAACAGUAUGGACAAAAUGAAGUAGUCCACCUUUCGUGCCUGCCUGUUCACACGUACUUCAUGGGUUUUCUUGGCCACAUGGGCAUGUCGAUUGGUGUCAGAGAUCCGUGGAUUUUACUUGAGGCCACCAUACUGUCAGCGACACGAAAAGGCACAAAACAUGCAAGAUAAAAGCUGGAGGAGAAAAGCAAGCGCGCGAACCAAGAAAGGCAAAUUAUUUUCACGGAAAUGAUGCUGCCCACAACUUCACAAGGAAAGUGGUUUUGCAAUGUCGUUCGUUUUUCGCUCGCGAGAAAUUCCUCACCUUCCCGAAACCAGGACAGAAGUUCACAAGAUGGCAAAGAUGGAAGGAAGGCUAGAGGACUUGAUUAUGAGUAGCAUGACUCUCCUCUAUUGUAACCAUUGUUCAACUAUCAAGGAGAUAAAAGGACCAUGUGCGAGCGGGCGAACAUGAGGAAAGACGCAGGAGGGCACUAGCAUGGAUUUGGUAGGUUCCUGUUGGACGUUAGCACGUUGUUUUGCUCAAGCAUUGACUUGAUACUACCAAAUGCAUCGUUUGAUAAUCAGGAUUUAGGCCUAUGUAGCACUCUAGCACAAGAAAGAAAACCAGCCACUACUCUCAAGACGAGGGCACGACAAACAAAACACUGGCGCUUGUAAGCUUACCGCGGCCUAUGAUUCUUUUUCUUUUUUAAUAAUAAAGAAACAAAAGGACGGCUCAUUUUAGGUAACUUGGUGUUACGAACCUGAACUUCCUUCAUGUACUCCCUUCAUUUUUGUAUACAAGGCCAUAAACUCAUAUUACAGAUACCAAGGCAAAAGUUAAUGUCUUCUAAGUCAAUGUUGCAAGUCAGCUUGUCUUUUUGUUUACCGUGUAAAUUAAUGUGUAUUCUUCUCUUUCAUGCACAUCAAACCAAUUCUCCCACUUCUGCAUGCGAGUACUAAGUAAAAGGGGAAAGAAACUGGUCGAGAGCCACCCCCAUUAGGGUUUUGAGGCAACACGGUGUGCAGAGCAGCUGGCCAAGGAGAUGGACACUGGACAUUGCUGUUCACAAGCGUGACGGAACCAGAAGGAUCCAGAAAAGCUACUGUAGGAGUAGAAAACAAGUGCUGGAUGGCUCAAAGUACGGAUCAGAACCGGGGCCAUACGAGCUUCUGCCAAGUGAGGCCCAUGAGGAUGAGGUUGUGGAACCCGCUUGCCACACUGAUACGAAACGUCCUUGAUGGAGCCCGGCCUCCAUUGAUCAUUUUUCGGCAGCAACCUUCAUUCACUCCUUCAUCCGGGAAAAACUCGGAAGGAGGAGUCGCGUGCGGUGCAGCAACAUUCAUUCCCUGUGCGCCCUGCUCCUGCUCUAUGAGCAAAAGGCUGAACAAAUUGAAAGCGUAUGAACAGAGCCAAGGAGCAUCAUCAAUUCAGUCACCUGAUUCACGUCGUCGGCAACUGCGCCCGCCGCUGACAAGCAGCAUCGGCAGUUGGGCCCGGGCUUUGACCGGCAAGCAAGGCGCAAAGCAACGAGAAAACCGGGGCGAGAGGGGCACAUGCAGACGCAUGAGCAAUUGAUUAUGGGAGUGCGAUGCGGAGAAUGAAACAAGUUCCCCAAAAGAAAAUGAAAACAAGAGAAAAAUAGUGACACAAGUUGAUGAGGCCGGCGAGCGCGAGAAUGGCGACAACCAAUUACAGAGAGUUCGGAGGGACUGUGCUCCCUUGGCUCCACGCUGCAAAUGGGCCACAAAAUGGCGAAGCUACGACGAGACUUCCGGCGACCACAGUCCACGCCAUGGAGCACGCACGUUUUUUUUUAACUACACGUCUUCGGUUUCUAGCACUUCUAGACUAUUCGCGACGUUUUCUAUUCCAGACUGAUUGCCCGUUUCCCUGUUCAUUUGCGUCUGGUUCCUUCCGUGAUCCAUCCGAUCCAAGGCGAGAUCAUGGAUGGUCCCAACUGCCGACCAAGCUUAACAUAAAGAAGGCUUUUGAUUCGGUGCGUUGGGAUUACUUGAUGGAUUUGCUGCGUCACCAUGGCUUCCCAAGUCGCUUCAGGGAUUGGAUCUCUGCCCUUCUUUCCUCGGCAUCUUCGCGUGUGUUGUUCAAUGGUAUUGCCGGUGACCCAAUUCGGGAUGGUCGGGGCCUUCGUCAAGCGGACCCUCUCUCCCCGUUGCUAUUUGUGCUCGCCAUUGACCCGUUGCACCACAUCCUUGCGAAGGCGACUUCUCAAGGUCAUCUUCAACCACUCAGAGGUCGACCCAUCCGUGCGUCGCUUUAUGCCGAUGACGCUGCCAUUUUCAUUGCCCCAAUAAAAAAUGACAUUCAGUUCCUGGCUUCAACUCUUGUAUCCUUUGGUGAUGCUACAGGAUUGGUCACUAAUUGUGCCAAAAGUGUAGUUGCGCCCAUUUGCUGCGGUAACAUUGACCUUGAUAACGUCCUGCAAGCCUUCCCAGCGGUUCGCUCCACCUUUCCUAUGAGAUAUUUGUGGCUUCCCCUUUCGGUUUCAAGGCUUAAGAGGAUUCACUUUCAGUUCUUAGAAGAUAAAGUUGCGGGGAAACUACCACCUUGGGUUGCCAAACAUGUGGCCGUGCCAGGCCGGGUUGUCUUGGUCAAGGCAGUGCUUACCGCCAUUGUUAUAUAUCAUAUCACGCCCCUGGAAUUGCCGGUGGAAGUGAGGAAGAAGAUUGAUAGCUUGCGGCGUGCCUAUCUUUGGGCGGGUUGCGAUAAAGUGACCGGCGGAAAAUGUAAGGUCAACUGGGAUCUCGUCUGCAAGCCCAAGAUCUUCGGUGGUUUGGGCAUCCUCAACNNNNNNNNNNNNNNNNNNNNNNNNNNNNNNNNNNNNNNNNNNNNNNNNNNNNNNNNNNNNNNNNNNNNNNNNNNNNNNNNNNNNNNNNNNNNNNNNNNNNNNNNNNNNNNNNNNNNNNNNNNNNNNNNNNNNNNNNNNNNNNNNNNNNNNNNNNNNNNNNNNNNNNNNNNNNNNNNNNNNNNNNNNNNNNNNNNNNNNNNNNNNNNNNNNNNNNNNNNNNNNNNNNNNNNNNNNNNNNNNNNNNNNNNNNNNNNNNNNNNNNNNNNNNNNNNNNNNNNNNNNNNNNNNNNNNNNNNNNNNNNNNNNNNNNNNNNNNNNNNNNNNNNNNNNNNNNNNNNNNNNNNNNNNNNNNNNNNNNNNNNNGAUGAUAGAGACCUGUUUGCGGCAGCCACCACAGUUAGUGUUGGAAACGGAUGUAAGGCGAAGUUCUGGGAAUCAUCUUGGCUGAACGGCAUGAGACCCAAAGAUAUUGCCCCAAAGAUAUUUGACCUCUCAAAAAAGAAAUCUACCUCGGUCCAAAAAGCUCUCCUCAACAAUCAUUGGGUUAGUCAGAUUGAUACCCAUCAUGGGCUCACCAUGGAGCAUAUUCAGGAGUUCGCCUUGCUAUGAGAAAAGCUAUCCUCUGUUACUCUCGACAAUGUUGUGCAUGAUACUAUCCUAUGAAAGUUCACGUCUCAUGGAGAAUACUCGGCGUCGACGGCCUAUAUAGCGCAGUUUGCGGGACACACGACAAGCAUCAUGCCUGCUGCUGUUUGGAAGGGUUGGGCCCCUCCGAAAUGCAAAUUUUUUGCUUGGUUGAUAAUUCAAAACAGAGUUUGGACAGCUGAUCGAUUGCACCGUCGUGGAUGGCCGAACUGCAACCUCUGCCCGCUUUGCAAGCAAGUCCAGGAAACCGCAGCACACCUUCUCUUCCAAUGCAGGUUCUCCCAGCGUGUCUGGAUCGAGGUUGCAACAUGGCUUGGUAUACAUGGUGAUGUGGUGAGGAGCUGGCGAAAUGAGGUUUCGGUUCGAGAAUGGUGGAUUAAAAAUGUGGUUGAGCGUGGAGAUAAGAGAAAGGCUAUCGCCUCCUUGUUCAUGCUCAUGUCUUGGGAGAUUUGGAAAGAGCGUAAUGGAAGGGUUUUCCGUAACAUCGCCGCUACGACGAUGAUGCUCAUCGCGAAGAUAAAAGAGGAGGCCCAUCUUUGGGCUAUUGCCGGUGCCACCCACUUGAGUAUUGUAAUGCCGCGAGAGUAGAUAUUUGUCUCCCACUUUGCGGUCGUUUGUCUUAAACCUUCUCCCUUAAUCAAUGAAAAUGGCAAAUCUUUUGCCUUGUUUCAAAAAAAAAAAAAACUGCCGACAAGGCUACGAUGUUCGCGCACUGGAUGGGCGUGUGCAGUGCCGCCGAUGAGUACCGUACCGACGAACGGCCCAACGUGAUUCGCUCGCCUCGAUCUAUUGCUUGUUGCACAGAUGCACUGAUGGGCACACACCAUUGUUCCCUGGAAAGAAAGAUGGCGCCCAUCUGCUCCAACGCUGCACUUUGACAGAGAUCAGUCACCAAGCACACAUGCAUCCACGAGGCAAGUGAUUCCGGCGGUGCGAUUUGCCUAAUCGUUCGGUUCCGAAAGCUUGAUGCGUGAUGCAUGCAUCGUGCACACGGAAAGAAACAUCUUUCGCUUUACUCCGGCCGUGUGACCGUGGCUGCACACACAACUGGCUAAGAAGACACUAUAGGGUGGGUGGAUCGGUGCUAGUCUAGCUAAGACACGCCCUGAUGCAAGGUUUAGGAAACGGGUGCAGAUCUCGCUGUCGUGGGAAUGCCCAGAUCUACCUAAACCAUCGCUUAGCUUUACCUGUAUCUUUUUCGGUUGACCGUGCCAGCAGAGGAUGCUGUUUUCAUGAGGGGUUUGUCCUGUUCCGCCUAAUCUUAACCAGACAUCUACCGCACAUCACAUGGCUUGAAGCAUAGCCAUUUAGUACAAUGGGACAGUAUGCUUUUUUUUGACAUGGACAGCGUUGCAGGAGCAGGUAGAAAUUUUGUCUCGUAAGAAAACUGCCCUUGGUGGAUCUGGAAGGCCUUAAAUUACGGUUCUAAUGUUUCCUCUUACUAAUUUGGAUCAAACCAGAAUUGACAGUGUGCUUCGUCCAACAGAUGAACUAGUGCUGCUUUUUAACACUGAACUACUGUUGCUUAAACCGCUGUGAUCACCAUCUUCCAAACUGCAUAAUAAGGCCCUCCACUGUGUAGGCCAAAAGUGGUGCCAAAUACACUUUUGGUUCAUUUGGCACCGAUGCCCUCCAUUGCCCAGCCGAUGCCAUAAUAUUUUUCCAGGGAACCGGAGCAUGUUGCUGCACCGAUGCCCACUUCUAGUAUUGCAAUAAAAUAUGUUAAACUGUGAAGGAUCAAGGGGAUGUGAUAGAGGAGGACUAGAGAACUUGUACGAAGGAUUGAGGGAAAGUUGGCUUGCUCCAUUUUUUAUGUAUACAUGUGGUCCGACUUUUCUAUGGGCUGCAAAGGCACAUAGUGUGACCGGUGCCAUAGAAAUUUCUCAGAGCAUCGAUGCCCAAUCUGUAAUAUUUUAAUGUACCGGGCACCGAUCACAUAGUGGAAGGCCUAACAGGAGUCAAACGCAAAUUCUUGUCUGCCCACCCGACGUCUUUUGCGUGGAUUGGUUUCGCCCAGACUACCGAUAAAGGACUCCCGCUGUCCUGUGUCCGGAGAGAAUUCUUCCGUCCCAAGACCUACCAUGUCAAAGCCCACCCUGUGUAGUUUGGUCCAAGCAACCCCACCCACACCCGCCAAGACAAACAAGUCUUGUAAGGUCCAAGCCAAUUAGAAUACCAGUGCUGUUCUUUUUUGUUAGAAUUCUACUGUCGAAAACUAGACUAGUUGACUAAGAAUUAGAUUCUCAAAAAAAAGUUGACUAAGAAUUAAGGUCCAUAAUAUUUAUGCUAACACUUGCAAAGAGUAAGCCGAAGAUAACUAACACGCAAAAAGGAUUACUGAACUAUGAAUUUUCUUCACGAAUAAGAGGUUUUUUGGAGAUAUGUCGAUAAAACCACCUUUUCCCCGAAAAAGAAGACAUUACUACUUGACACAAGGAUGAGAAACCACAUAUUUUAAUAUACAGAUGAAAAAUAAAGAUAAUUUAUAGUAACUAAUCAAGAUUCCAAUGUGAGGUUGGGAGGUCUGAUUUGAGGUAAACAUGGUCGCAAGGAGGCAUGCCAGUUUUUUUAUACAUGCAAAGCUUCUAAAUAAAUCAAGGUAUCUGCUAUGUCAUUGGACUGCUAGGACAUCUCUAGCAGAUUCCUCAUCCUGUAAUCUCAAAUCUUACCUUCUUUAAAAAAAAAUAGGACGGUUAAACUCUUUUCCCCAUCUAGCAGACCCCCCAAGCUUAAUCCCCCAAACACACUUCACCCCACAUGGCAGCCUCUCUUCACCUUAUUCUUCCUUCUUCCUUUGACAUGGCCAACGACCACUUCUCGCCACUGGAUGAUGCAGAUGAGCUAGCUAUGAACUAGGAUAGAUGCUCCGCAAAAGUACUUGAUAGAGGAUCGCCGUGCGCGAUGUAAGCGUUCGAUGAAGUAGUCGUGAAAGUAGGAGAAAUUCAUCCUCCAUGGGACAUGGUAUGGGUGUUUCUUCUUCUGAACGACUUCUUCCCCUCACUCUCCUAGUGUCUAGAUGGCGCGGUCCGGAAUACAAGAAUUCAUUGGAAUCAGUCUUGGCGGUCGGCGACCACUUUUAGGUGAGCAUUUUCUAUGUAAGUGUUGCUCCACAUAUGGUGCAUCUUUGCUCGUGGUCGAGGAUGACGGGAAGGAGCACCGUAAAAAAGUGUCAUCGUCGGCCGAACAUGACGUGAAAGAAAAAGAAUGAAGAAAAAAGUUCGCCGAAGACAUGGGGGAGGUAGGGUUGUGGGGAGGCACCACGACCUGCAGGGUGGGUCCGUGGGUAGCCAACGGCUAGGUGUGCGGGUGAGGCAGUGGCUACGGGAGGCAUGAGUUAUGUCCCUACUUUUGCCGAGGAUGCCAUUUUCUAGGAAAAAAAUAGGCCAGAGAGAAAACUAUGUUUUUGAGUAACUAAAGGUUUGUGGGAUCCGAUAGCUAGUAAGUCUCGGUUAUGAAACUCGUAAUUUUUCUUCAUACACACAGGCAAUAGCAGCGGCACCCUUCCAUCAAAGGCAAACGGAGUGGAGGGUACACCUGUGCUACACCCUUCACGAGUGAAGAGGCGGCACCUGCAGGUGUGCGAGUGGCCACGACGGCGAAGCAUAGGACGCAUUUGGUAGCCUGCAUUAGGCCUAGGCAGGCACGCGCAUGAUAAAAAUGGGCUGUUUGGAUGCUUGUGUUUACUGUUUGGCCCGCAUAGCACGAACCUCAAAGCACCCCUCAGCCUGGCCCGCUAGGAACGGCCGAAUCGACCAUUUCUAGCGAGCCAGGCUCGAGCGAUGCAGGGGAGGGGAAGGCCGUACUGUGCCGCGCAGCGUAGGGGAGGGAGAUGGCGGGAGCGAUGGCGCAUCUUCAAAAAAGCGGCGGAACGAAUUCGAGUCAACGCCCGUGGAUUCGGUCGCCCGUGAAUUCGAGCAAUCAUAGAAGACUAUAUGAUGGUUGAGUAUGUGGAGCUCUUACUUAGACUCUAUUGAAUAAGUUGAAUUGCAAUUGUUUGGUGACUAAGAAUAUAGGUUGUUGAGUUUCAAGAGAAUUUAUUGUUUGAACCUUAACAUGUGAAUCGGUUGCUACUUUGUGAUGAUGAGUUUUAUGAGAAAGAAUUGCUAUUAUGAUGCUAGGAAAAGUGAUUGAAAUUAUCAUUGAUCAAACUUAUGCACUUUGCUAGCAUUCACACUUCAUAAAUUAUUUCUUUUAUCAUUUACCUACUCGAGGACGAGUAGGAAUUAAGCUUAGGGAUACUGAUACGUCUCCAACCUAUCUAUAAUUUAUGAAGUAUUCAUGCUGUUAUAUUAUCAUUCUUGGAUGGUUUACGAAUAUUUUAUAGCAACUUUAUAUCAUUUUUUGGGACUAAACUAUUGGCCCAGCGCCCAGUGCCAGUUGUUGUUUUUUCUUGUUUUUUACAUCGUAGGAAAUCAAUAUCAAACGGAGUCCAAAUGCAGUAAAACUUUUUGGAGAUUUUUUUGGACCAGAAGACAUCCAGUGGGCCAGAGAAGCACCUGGGGGGCGAGGGGGCACAACCCACCAGGGCGCGCCUGGGGGCCCAGGCGCGCCUAGGUGGGUUGUGCCCACCUCGGUGGCCUCCCGCACCCCCUGUUCGACCUAUAAAUUGUCAAAUAUUCCAAAAACCCUCGGGGUUAACCUGGAUCGGAAGUUCCUCCACCACAAGCCUCUGUAUCCACGAAAACCAAUCUAGACCCUGUUCUGGCACCCUACCGGAGGGGGAGAUCAUCUCCGGUGGCCAUAUUCAACAUCCCGACGGCCACCAUGAUGAGGAGCGAGUAGUCCACCCUUGGGGCUGAGGGUUUGUACCAGUAGCUAUGUGUUUAAUCUCUCUCUCUCUCUCUCUCUCUCUCUCUCUCUCUCUCUCGUGUUCUUGAGAUGUCACGAUCUUGAUGUAUCGCGGGCUUUGUUAAUAUAGUUGGAUCAUAUGGUGUUUUCCCCUCUUUAUCUUGUUGUGAUGAAUUGAGUUUUCCCUUUGAGAUUUUGUUUUAUCAGAUUGAAUACUUUUAUGGAUUUGAGAACACUUGAUAUAUGUUUUGCAUAUGAAUACUCGUGGUGACAAUGGGGUAUCAUAUUGAUCUACUUGAUAUAUGUUUUGGCACUCAACUCGUGGAUUCCCGAGGUGACAUUGGGGUAAUCUAUUGUAGGAUCGAAAGUAUGUCUAGAGGGGGGUGAUUAGACUACUUGACCAAGUAAAAAUCUAGCCUUUUCCCAAUUUUAAGUCUUGGCAGAUUUUAGCAACUUAGCACAAGUCAAGCAAUCAACCUACACAUGCAAGUCUAAGAGUAUAGCAGUGGAAUGUAAAAACAUUGCACAUGAAGGUAAAGGGGGGAGUUUAAGGGAGCAAACGCAAUGUAGACACGGAGAUUUUUGGUGUGGUUCCGAUAGGUGGUGCUAUCGUACAUCCACGUUGAUGGAGAAUUCAGCCACGAAGGGUAACAGCUGCGAGAGUCCACGGAGGGCUCCACCCACGAAGGGUCCAUGAAGAAGCAACCUUGUCUAUCCCACCAUGGCCAUCGCCCAUGAAGGACUUGCCUCGCUAGGGUAGAUCUUCACGAAGUAGGCGACCUCCUUGCCCGUACAAACUCCUUGGUUCAACUCCACAAUCUUGUCGGAGGCUCCCAAGUGACACUUAACCAAUCUAGGAGACACCACUCUCCAAAUGGUAAUAGAUGGUGUGUUGAUGAUGAACUCAUUGCUCUUGUGCUUCAAAUGAUAGUCUCACCAACACUCAACUCUCUCUCACGGAUUUGGAUUUGCUGGAAAGAUGAUUUGAGUGGAAAUCAACUUGGGGAAGGCUAGAGAUCAAGAUUCUUGUAGUUGGAUUGUAAUAUCUUGGUCUCAACACAUGAGUAGGUGAUUCUCUCAGAAAAUGUAUGAUGGAAGUGUAGGCAUGUUCUGAUAGCUCUCUCCACGAAUGAAGAGUGGGUGGAGGGGUAUAUAUAGCCUCCACAGAAAAUCUAACAGUUACACAUAGUUUACCAAACUCGGUGGGACCGAAUCAUGAAACUCGGUCGGACCGAUUUAGUUCAAAAUGUGAACGUUAGGAUUUUCGGUGGGACCGACAUGUCAACUCGGUGGGAACGAUUUCAUUAAGGUUAGGGCAUAACGUAAUCUCGGUUAGACCGAUCACAUAAACUCGGUGGGACAGAUUUCUGUAAUAGGAAAACACAGAGUUGGUCAGGAAAACUCGGUGGGACCGAUUCGCUCAUUUCGGUGAGACCGAAACGUUAAGAAAAGGAAAGAGAGAGUUUGCAUUGCAAACUCGGUGUACGUGGGACCGAUCGCUCGUCUCGGUUGGACCGAAACGUUACGAAGGGAAACAGAGAGUUUGCAAUCCCAUCUCGGUGAGACCGAGAUCCCUAUCGGUGAGACCGAAUUGACUAGGGUUUCUGGCAGUGGCUAUGUCAAGUGAACUCGAUGGCGCCAGAUAGAUCAAAUCGGUUGGGCCGAGUUUGACUUUUGGUUUGGGACAUAAGUGGAUAUGAGAAAGUUGUUGAGGGCUUUUGGAGCAUAUCACUAAGCAUUUUGAGCAAGCAAGCUAUUAAGCAACACCUCAUCCCCUUUUAAUAGUAUUGGCUUUUCCAAUGGACUCAAUGUGAUCUUGGAUCACUAAAAUGAAAAUGUAGAGUCUUGAGCUUGAGACAAUAUGUGUCCUUAGCAUUUUGAGGGGUCCACAUUCCUUGUCCAUGCCAUGUCAAUCAUUGAACUUUCUGAAAUGAUCAUCUUGAAAGAGCAUUAGUUCAAUGAGCUAUAUGUUGUUAGGAAUUACCAAAACCACCCAGGAAUAAUUGCACUUUCAAUCUCCCCCUGUUUGGUAACUGAUGACAACAUAUAUAUCAAAGAUUUGUUAAAUGAUAAUAAGAAUGUAAUACAUCGUCGCUUUGAGAAGUAUGUGAUAUGCAAGAGCUCCCCCUAAAUUUGUGCAUUAUUGAAAAUUUGCUUUUGAAUGCAAAUGCACAAUCAAUUAGGAUCAUGGUUACUCUUCCAUGUCACAUACAUCUUGGUGGAGCGCUCAAAAUGAUAGAGUAAAAAUAUGCACUCAUCACCAAGGCAAAGUGAAUGAUCAUACAUGAGAGAUAAAAGAUAACAUCAUUCAAGCAAGCAUUAAGGUAUGAUAUGACCAAACACCUGAUCAUACAAGUAUCUCACACACAUAGACAUAGAGAAUUAAGCAAGUACACAAAAGUAUCAACCAAAUAGCAAAAGAGACAAAAGAGGCAAAACACUCUCUCUCGAAGCCUAUGAUCUAUACAUUUCUCCCCCUUUGGCAACACGUUACCAAUUUUUUUGGAAAUGCAUAGUGCUAUGCGUCUCUCUAGGCUUGAUCUUUGGGAGGUGGUGUUGAGAUGACUCCAAGGACGAAUGCAUCUGUUGAAGUUGAUGGAGUUGGUGGAGUUGCAACUGGAGGUGGCACUGAUUCUGUGGCUCCAGGUGCUGAUGAAGUUGCUUUAGUGUCAGCCAUGGGCGCUGCAGCAGAUCUCUGACCUCUUGGCACUCUUUGAAAGGCAUCUGUGGUAGCCUGCCCUUUCCUCUCCUCAGCUUCUUCUUGGAGCUGCUCCACUACUGUCGGCGUCCUGGAUAUGGGGGUAUCCAACCCUGCCUGCCUGCGGCCCACCACGUGGCUCCAUCGACGACCUGGUACGGCCCAGCUUCAGCAUCAACAGCACAAGACCCUCGCGAGGGGCCAAGCCGUGCGAGGCGGACGACGCCAAGAUCCCCGAGGGGAUCGGCCUCCUCAGGCUGGCUCCAGAGGAGCGGAGAGUUCUAUGCAAGGUUUACCUCACGAGGCUCAGCUGAUGUAAGCCAUGACAACCAAGGCCAGGCGGGCGCAGAGCGCGGGUUUCCUCUUCGGUGUAAAGGAGGUAAGCCACAGGCGUGGAGUCCCAAGGAAUCAGCCAAAGGUUUCCAUUCUGGUGCAAUGAGACCAAGACCGCCAGGACGACAGGACAGAGGUCAUCGAUGAGCCCAGCACCGCGUCACAACCAGAGGCUUUUCGCAGGCGAAGACUACUUUUUUCAGGAUAAACUGUACUACUUGUCCCCUUUCAAAUCCGGCCAUUGUGGGAUCCCUUCCCGCCAACAUUUGAGAAGAGGACCACGACCACUAUAAAUAGUACUAGCCACCACCGUAGAGGCAAGACAAGCCGAACUAGCUCACACCACACCAGCUCCCGCGAGCUCAAGAACACCUCACCUCUUGAGGCCAGUUCAUCCAUUGUACUAGUUCAUCCUCAGCCCUCUGAGGCAAUCCACCAAAACACUGGAGUAGGAUAUUACACCACAAGGUGUCCCGAACCAGGAUAAGCUGUUGUGUCCCUUUGUCCCUUUGAGCUCGACGCGCUAGACUUAGGAGAAUCGCGAGUAGGCAGGCUGGGUUGGUUGAGAUAUCCACACGCACCCCAGAGUUCGAACCUCUCAAGGGUUUGCGUAUCCCUUAAUCCGACAUUUGGCACACCAGGUAGGGGUGCGUCGGAUCUUCUCUUCCGUCGAUCGAUCCACGGCCACUCCGACACCUCCAUGGCUGACGCACGCCGAGCUCGCAUCGAGCAUCGGGCCGCAGUCGCCGCCCGCGUCGCUCAGACAACUCCGGCGGGCGAUGGUUGUGCCCGUCACGCUCCAUCUCUGGUGGCCAAUGCCGCCAUGGGCCCUGCCGGCCACGAGCAGCAAGCUUCAUCACUGCACCCGUCGGUGUGCCGUGACGGGUGCACCGCCACUCCAACACUCACCCAGCAGCUUCAUCCUCCCACGCGUGUCGUGGCUAGGCGGACGCGCAGGCCGCUCUGCUCAUGGCGCGAGAGCUCCUUCGCUACAGCCCGGUCAGUGACCUCUACGAGGAGUGGCUCGAGCGGAUCGCUGAGCUCGUCAGCGUCGCGCACGGGGCUCCUCCACCACCUCCGCCCCAGGGCGCCAUCAUCGAGCCAAGGCGUGUGGCGCCAUGGCGCGACCCAUCGCGCCCUGCGCCAGCUCAGGAGGACGUGAGCUGCCAGGUGGUGCAGCGACCACAAGGAGAACCGCGAGUGCUUCCAGCACCCCAGCACUAGGCCCGCGUACCGCCGUAGGAGGUGGCGGUGCGCGUGCACCAGGACCAGUUUCCACCCCCUCAACAACCUCCAGUGGCCACGACAGGAUGUCGCGCAUUCACCCCGGAGCUCUGCAACGUCAUCUGGCCGAGCAAGUUCAAGCCUGACCUGCCUCCACGCUACGACGACCCUGCCGAGUUCCUGCAGCUCUACGAGCUGAGCAUUGAGGCGGCCAGCGGCGACGAGAAGAUCAUGGCAAACUGGUUCCCGAUGGCCCUCAAGGAUGGCGCGCGUUCUUGGCUCCUGAACCUACCCGAGGGGUCGGUUUCUUCCUGGGAGGAGAUGCGCGACCGCUUCAUCGCCAACUUCCAGGGCACUCAUGAUUGUCCGCCGGCCGUGGGUGACCCGCGUCGCAUCAAGCAGCAACCUGGGGAGACCCUGCAGAACUAUAUCCAACACUUCAACAACGUUCGCCUCAAGAUCACCAAGGUGUCGGACGAGGCCAUCAUUUUGGCGUUCACUGACAGCAUCCACGAUGUCAAGAUGAAGGAGGAGCUCUCCGUCCAUGAGGAUCUUUGCACAGCCCUAGAGAUGUUCAACAUGCGAACAAGUGCACGAGGGCUGAGGAGGGGCGCCUCUCCCUCCUCGAGCUCCCCGAUGCUGAUCCAGAAGACAAGAAGGCCAAGACCAAAGACAUGAAGCGCAAGGGGCCGGCCGUGUUUGCGGCUGAACCAGAGAUGAAGCGCGGUUGCGACCACCUCGAGUCAUCCAAGAGCAAUCGGCCAUUCUGCGUCUUCCACAACGUUCACAGCCACAACACCAACGACUGCCAGGAGCUCAGAGCCCUCCACGACGGACGCCUCGGUCGACGCCCCAAGCGCAACGAUCGAGGCUACGGUCAUGAAGGUGGCCGAGGAGGAGGACGCUGGGACGGACACGGCCAUCGUUAGGACUGGUGCGACCAGCCUCGUGAGGACCGCUGGCAGGGCCAGCCUCGCGAGGGCGCCUGGAGGGAGCAGCCUCAUGAGGAAUGCCCUCAGGGCAACAUAGCUCUGCCUCCUCUGCCUCCACCGCCAAGAAGGAACGAGGAUCACCACCAGGACGAGGGGGCUAGGGGCUUCCAGGAGCCUCGAGCCAUUGCCUGCAUCUUGGGAGGCUCACAAGCCCUGGCUUCCCACCGCAUCUUCAAGCAGUUCAGGCGCGAGGUGAACGCGGCGUUCCCCAAGCCCGAGGCAACUCGCCCUCUUAGGUGGUCCAAGUGCGCCAUCACCUUCAACUCCUCAGACCAGCUCAAGUACGCGGCCACUGCUGGCACGCUCCCUAUGCUCUGCUCCCCGUCAUCAGUAACGUGGUCGUUACAAAGACUCUCAUUCAUGGCGGAGCAGGUCUCAAUGUUCUGUCUGUUCAGACGUUCGUCAGGCUCCAAGUGCCAUACUACUAGCUUCACCCAACCAAGCCAUUUUCAGGAGUGACCGACGGUUCUACACACUCGAUAGGGCAGGUUCACCUCCCUGUCACCUUCGGCGAGUGCAACAACUACCACACCGAUCUCAUCGACUUCGACGUCGCCGACAUCCGCCUGCCCUACAACGCCAUCCUAGGGUACUCAGCACUGGCCAAGUUCAUGGCAGCUACGCACCACAGCUACAACGUUCUCAAGAUGCCAGGAAGCGGCGGUGUCAUCACGGCCGCAUGCCAAGAGAAGGAUGCUGUGUGCUCCCUCGAGCACGCCUUCCAGGCUGCAGCACUCGAGAACCCUGAAGACGAGGGCGGCGCCCUCCCUCCCGAGGUCGCCCCCAAGACAAAGAAGCUACAGCUGGGACAAGGAUCUCAUGAGAGAGCAUCACUCGAGGGCACCACGCUGAGCCUCGCGUGUCCGGACGUGGCACCUUCUCCCAUUGCAUAGGAAGGCAUGCCCGACGCCCCUCUCAGGCUAGGCUUGGGGGCUCUCCUCGGGAGGGCCUCAGACCUAGCCAGAGUCACGAGGGAGGCGCUCGUGCACCAUGUGGAGGCGCUUUUUAGAGCACGCUUCCCAGGAGAAGGCAUCAGGCGUGAAGCACCAGACAUUCAGGAGUUAAUCGGCAAGGCAAUCGAGGAGAUUCAUGAGGCAAGGGUUCUGCAAGGCGAUCAUCGCCUGCCGCGAGGCGCAGCUCACUGCCCUAGCGAGGGUAAGGAGUACCACGUCUGCAUCGACAUCCCCAGGCUCAACAGGGAUGCGUCUCGGCAGCUCAUGUCGUCGUCUCGUGUCGGCCGAUGCGAGGGUCCACCUUACAGCUAUGUUCGCAUGCCUUUCAGCCUGCCGAGCACGGCUGUGGUGUUCCAGCACCGCAUGAGGGACGCCCUAGCGGCUCGCGAGGCCAGGCAUCGGGCGAUCCUGGUGGAGAUGGAGGAGCACCUUCAGGAGCCUCCCGGGCCCUCUGAGCCUCCCGAGGCUCGGCACCAGAGCGGCUCGUGAGGAACGACUCCGGCGGCGCAUGUUUUUUGGCUACUUCAACACCUCUUCAGCGAUGGUACCAGGUGACAUCUCUCUAGUUCGUUCAGUCUGGGGGCGCCCCUCGGGCUGCAUCAUCCCCAGGCCAUGUGGGUCCGUCCCUACGGCAUGUAUCCCUUCCGCAUCUAUCAGAGCUAGUUCAAUCUUUUGCAAGUUACCUUUAAAUUAUUAACUGCCUGACCGGUGCUUCGUCGCUAAGAACAUCUCGCGCCCUUGCAAGCCCUCCCGCGACCGCCUCAUGAUUAAGGAUUGGCACGACGUUUGUGCUCGGGUCCGUCCUUGCAGCGUCGCUAAAUCUAAGAGGCUGAGCUCUGGCUCAUGGGCCAGUCCCUGUGUACGUCACCUCCCAUGGCCCUUGGUGCCUUGUUCUCGCAUGAGCUAAUCACGGGUGGAUGAGUAAGGGCGCGCGACCUGGUGCCCCCGUGGCCACAGGAACCGCGUGCCGGUUGUUUUUCUUCAGGAUCUUUGCAUGAGAAGACUGGGAUGGCGUCUGUGCUCGGGUCCGUCCCUGCAGCGUCGAUAAACCCAACGGUUGACCUCUGUCUGGCGGGCCGGUCCCAUUCACGUCACCUCUUGAGAUCGUUGGUGUCUGGCCUUCUCAUGCAAUAACCUCAGGAGACUCAUUCGGCACAGGCUACCUAACCAUCUCGCAGGACUAAUACAAGCACCCUCAAUCAAGACCAGGCGCAACCCGCCUUGAGGUAGGGCCUCGUGAGUCCCGCGCUAGCUCACGAGUGCCCAUACACACCUCCUCCACCCCCGUCGUGCAAGCCACGUGUCAGGGCGCAGCUGUACACGCCCCGGGGGCUCUCCUUAGAGGGAGCCCCCCCUCACGCACUAGUGGAAGCACCAUGCUCCGCGCUGGCCAUCAACACUGCUGAGGAGCAGCUAUGCCCGUGCAAGAGCGGAAGCUCUAUGCUCUGCGCUGGUGAUAAACAACUGGGGGUGGCCUUGCGGCCGCAUCAACCUCAGGGAGCCUCCGGGCUCAGUGACCAGCCUCACCGUGCUGCUCUCCCUCAGGAGGAUAGCAUGAGGGGGCUGGGCACAGGGGCUACGCUCAUGUCACGCCUGGCGUACGCCACCUCGCCAUGCCUCACGGGCCUGGUCUUCGUGCACCCCUCCGAAGCGAGAGCUCGGCGAGGAGAAGGUAUGAUGGUCAAUUCGUACGUCAAGGGGGACUCCUGAGCAUCGUGUCUCAGGAGCCUAACUAGUCACAUAGCCCCUCACCCCUUGGGCUCGUCUUGGCAAUCCGGACGACCCAACGACGGCUGAGGCAUGCGCGGGGCCGGGCCCUGCCGACGCAGAAUGCCAAGGCCUGACUCUCACCCUUCCUUUUCAAGUCGUUCGAAUGUCAAGGGGGACUCCUGGGCAUCGCGUCUCAGGAGCCUAACUGGUCACGUAUCCCCUCAGCCCUUGGGCUCGUCCUGGCGAUCCGGAUGACCCAACGACGGCAGAGGUAUGCGCGGGGCCGGGCCCUGCCAAUGCAGAACAUCAAGGCUUACCUCCGCACCUUUUCCUAAGCUGUUCGCACGUCAAGGAGGACUCUUGAGCAUCGUGUCUCAGGAGCCUAACUGGUCACAUAGCCCCUCACCCCUUGGGCUCGUCCUGGCGAUCCGGACGACCCAACGGUGGCUGAGGUAUGCGCAGGGCCGGGCUCUGCCAAUGCAGAACAACAAAGCAAACGGAAAAGUCAAGGGACCAUAAUCUAAUUAUUACAUAUUGUUCCGAGCAAACAGUUUUAAAUGCCUCCCCGAGGCAUGCUACAUGAUACAGGACAAACAAGGAAAAGCAGAGUCACCAAGCCACCUCUUCAAACCUGGGUGCCACCGUUGCCCGCCAGCGGAGCCUCGUCACCAGGCGCGUCGCCCAUUCCAUCGACCUUGUUUGGAGGACCGAUGACCAGGAACUUACUCAACAUGGCAUGCACAAAGCUCUUCACGGCGGCAGCAGCAGCGUCCUGGGAGUCGGAGUCCACCGGAGUGAGGAAAGAGGUGAGGUCGAAGCCAGCGUCCUGGAGAUAGAGAUGGCUGAAGACGCACGUAAGGGCCGAGGAAGAAAGCGAGCGCGCCUCGCUUUCCACCAAAGAGGCAAACCCGUCGACAACAUCUUCCAGCACCGCCAAGACUUCAGGGAGCAAGGCAGCAGGGCUCUCCCUUGGGGUCAUCGCCGUCACCUUCUUCAAAGGAUCGUCCCCAAAGAGCAACCGCUGAGCCUUGUGGAACCUCGCCUCGAGAGAGGUGAGGGUGCUGCGCUUCAUGGCGGCGGCCUCCUUGGCCCCGGCGAGGGCCGUCUGGGCCGUCUCCACCUCCUCCUUCAGCUCGUCAGGCGGUCGCGCUCCGCAGCCUGCUCCAAGGCCACCUUCUUCACCUCGGCAUCUCGAUCAGCGAUGGCAGCCUCCUAGGCCUUCAGCUUCUCCUCACGCUCCUGGAGCUAGCUGGCCUGGGCGGCCUGCUGAUCCUGAAGAGCCUUCAGUUCAGCCUCCACCAUGCAGCGCCGAUCCUCAGCUUCUGUGGCCUCCUUCCGUGCCAGGUCGUGCUUGGUGGCGACCACCCCGAGCACCUUCUAGGCUUCCUUUGCAGAGCCCCAGGCCGCAGGGACAGACGCGUUGUCCUAGAGCCAACCAGAAAUCAGCCCCAGGCGUCCCUGCGCCGAGCGGCGCCGGGCCCCGAAGUUCACCCUGGAGGAGGUCCAGCACCGCCCUUGCCUCCUCUAGGGCCCCGGAGGUGGCAAGAGUGUCGCGGCUCGGCUGCAUGCUGGGCAAGGGAGAAGACACCCUCAACACCAAGACAGAAGAAACCUCAGCCUCAGGACGGACCGGGGGCUCCGGAGGCUGGUCGACCUUAGUAGCCGCAGCAAGGAUGGGCGCCGGUGGGGUCAGCCUCGCCAAGGACGCCGACACCUCCUGAGGGCGGGCUUCCGCGCCCUGGGAAGACGACACCACCUCCAGAGCUGCAGGGGCCGCGACAUUCUCCUUCACGUGGGCCGUAGCAGCCACCCCGGCGCCUUCAACCACGACAACCUUCGUGCCCUCCUUCUGCUUCUUUGACGAAUGCUGCCUAAUGACGGACGAAGAUGCUAAGCAUCGCUUCAGGAAUCAACAAGUAAGGCUAAGGAAAAGACUUACUGGCCGACGAAGACAUAGCUCCUCUUCAGGCUGAGCAGUGGGUGCUGAGGCAGGGCAGCUGGUGGUGAGCCCUUGGGAGCAGGAGAACUCGCGGUUGGCGCCACUCGGGACGCCGCCGGCGAAGGCGGAACGCUGCCCGGAGGAAUCAGCACGGUCCUGCCCUUCUUCGAGGCCGUCCGCUUGGGCUGCUUCAAAGAGGACACCCCGGAUCUCGUGGUGACUCCAGAAGGGCGAGGCACCUCUACCACCGGAAGCUCAUCAUCACCGUCAGGGAAGUCGUGGAGGAGGUCCCUCUGCCGCGGGGUAGAAGAUUCCUCUACAACCUCGUCCUCGGUGGCCUCGGAGGAGUGGUCGCUGGAGGACAGGUGCACCAAGGCGGUAGGCGGCGGGGGAGGCCCCGCACGCACGAUGCCAAACUCGUCAAAGACCGGCAUGGCAACGGCGACCUCCUCCCCGUCGACCCAACAGUACAACUGGAGCCAAUCCUUUGGAGGUUUGGUCGGAUCCUUCCCCGUCAAGUAAAGCAACACCUUGCCCAGCUCCUCCUCGGGAAGGGCGUCCUGGCACAGGCGGAUCUUGUCGUCGACGCACCCAAGCUUCCACAAGGGGCAGGAGCGAUCUUGGAGCGACGCUAUGCGCUGCGUCAAGAACUCCAUGAUGAACAUGGCCCCCGUCAGCUUCUCGCUCCUCAGGUCCUCCUCCAUCUUCUUCACCAACGGCUUCAAAGAAGGGUCAGUGAUCUUCUCAGAGUACCACCCCUUCCCGGAGGCGGGGAGCUCGGUCGACAGCUCCAACAAGGCAUGGGAGCACUUGGCAUCCAUCAGAACCCACCUCUUCAUGGCAUCCUCCACCUUCUUCCCGGCGCGGGAGAUCGCGUUACCGCCCCAUGCUGCAAUGAAGCCGUUGCACCCAACCGGAUGGUCGCCAGUUGCUACCACUUGAGCACUGCAUUGGUUUUCCCUUGAAGAGGAAAGGGUGAUGCAGCAAAGUAGCGUAAGUAUUUCCCUCAGUUUUUUAGAACCAAGGUAUCAAUCCAGUAGGAGGCUCCAUAGAAGACCCUCGUACCUACACAAACAAACAAGAACCUCGCAACCAACGCGAUAAAGGGGUUGUCAAUCCCUUCAUGGUAACUUCUGAAAGUGAGAUCUGAUAGAGAUAAUAAGAUAAGAUAAAUAUUUUUGGUAUUUUUAUGAUAUAGAUUGAAAAGUAAAGAUGCAAAUAAAAGUAGAUUAGAAACUUAUAUGAUAAAAGAUAGACCCGGGGGCCAUAGGUUUCACUAGUGGCUUCUCUCAAGAUAGCAUAAGUAUUACAGUGGGUGAACAAAUUACUAUCGAGGAAUUGAUAGAAAAGUGCAUAGUUAUGAGAAUAUCUAGGCAUGAUCAUGUAUAUAGGCAUCACGUCUGUGACAAGUAGAUCAAAACAAUUCUGCAUCUACUACUAUUACUUCACACAUCGACCGACUCCAGCCUACAUCUAGAGUAUUAAGUUCAUAAGAACAGAGUAACGCAUUAAGAAAGAUGACAUGAUGUAGAGGGAUAAACUCAAGCAAGAUGAUAUAAACCCCAUCUUUUUAUCCUCGAUGGCAACAAUACAAUAUGUGCCUUGCUGCCCCUGCUGUCACUGGGAAAGGACACCGCAAGAUUGAACCCAAAGCUAAGCACUUCUCCCAUUGCAAGAAAGAUCAAUCUAGUAGGCCAAACCAAACUGAUAAUUUGAAGAGACUUGCAAAGAUAACCAAUCAUACAUAAAAGAAUUCAGAGGAGAUUCAAAUAUUUCUCAUAGAUAAACUUGAUCAUAAACCCACAAUUCAUCGGAUCUCCGCAAACACACUGCAAAAAGAGUUACAUAAAAUAGAUCUCCAAGAAGAUCAAGGAGAACUUUGUAUUGAGAUUCAAAGAGAGAGAAGAAGCCAUCUAGCUAAUAACUAUGGACCCAAAGGUCUGUGGUAAACUACUCACAACUCAUCGGAGAGGCUAUGGUGUUCAUGUAGAAGCCCUCCGUGGUUGAUUCCCCCUCCAGCGGAGCACCGUCGAAGGCUCCAAGAUGGGAUCUCGUGGAUAAAGAAGGUUGCGGCGGUGGAAAUAGUUUUUCAUGGUGCUCCUGGAUGUUUUCAGGGUAUGGAGGUAUAUAUAGGCGAAGGAGGUAGGUGAGAGGAGCCACGAGGGCCCCACGAGGGUGGGGGGUGGGGCGCGCCCUCCUGCCUUGUGGCCACCUUGGCUGCUUCUUGAAGUCCACUCCAAGUCUCCUGGAUUGCGUUUGUUCCAAAAAUAUGGCUCCCGAAGGUUUCAUUCCGUUUGGAAUCCGUUUGAUAUUCCUUUUCUUCGGAACACUGAAAUAGGCAAAAAAACAGCAAUUCGGGUUGGGCCUCCGGUUAGUAGGUUAGUCCCAAAAAUGAUAUAAAAGUGUAAAGUAAAGCCCAUAAACAUCCAAAACGGGUAAUAUAAUAGCAAGGAACAAUAAAAAUUAUAGAUAUGUUGGAGACGUAUCAAGCAUCCCCAAGAUUAAUUCAUGCUCGUCCUCGAGUAGGUAAAUGAUAAAAACAGAAUUUUUGAUGUGGAAUGCUACCUAGCAUAUUUCUCAAUGCAAUUUUCUUUAUUGUGGCAUGAAUGUUCAGAUCCAAAUGAUUCAAAAUAAAAGUUCAUAUUGACAUAAGAAUAGUAAUACUUCAAGCAUACUAACAAAGCAAUCAUGUCUUCUCAAAAUAACAUGGCUAAAGAAAGUUCAUCCCUACAAAAUCAUGUAGUUAGGCCAUGUUUCAUUUUCAUCACACAAAAUACUCCCAUCAUGCACAACCCCGGUUUCAGCCAGGCAAUU
rnacentral:lncRNA from 1 species